rnacentral:rRNA from 1 species
UACGUAGGGUGCAAGCGUUGUCCGGAAUCAUUGGGCGUAAAGAGCGUGUAGGCGGUUCGGUAAGUCGGCUGUGAAAGUCCAGGGCUCAACCCUGGGAUGCCGGUCGAUACUGGUGGACUAGAGUCCGGAAGAGGCGAGUGGAAUUCCCGGUGUAGCGGUGAAAUGCGCAGAUAUCGGGAGGAACACCAAUGGCGAAGGCAGCUCGCUGGGACGGUACUGACGCUGAGACGCGAAAGCGUGGGGAGCAAACAGG